UUAAAGGGAGCGUAGAUGGAUGUUUAAGUCAGUUGUGAAAGUUUGCGGCUCAACCGUAAAAUUGCAGUUGAUACUGGAUAUCUUGAGUGCAGUUGAGGCAGGCGGAAUUCGUGGUGUAGCGGUGAAAUGCUUAGAUAUCACGAAGAACUCCGAUUGCGAAGGCAGCCUGCUAAGCUGCAACUGA
rnacentral:rRNA from 1 species